CCCUUAGAUGUUCUGGGCAGCACGCGCGCUACAAUGGUCUUCGCAAACGGAUGCAUUCUCGAAGGAGAAUGCCAAUCUUGGAAUCUAUGCCUUGGUCGGGACAGUUGCUUGCAAUUUUUCGACUCGAACCAGGAAUUCCUUGUAAUCAUGAUUCAUCACAUCACGAUGAAUACGUCCCUGCCCUUUGUACACACCGCCCGUCGCUCCUACCGAUCGAAGAGUUAGGUGAAUUGUUUUGAUCGAUAAGAUUUGACUAUGGUCAACUCUCGUUGUGAAAUUCUGUGAAUCUGACUGUUUAGAGGAAGGAAAAGUCGUAACA
rnacentral:rRNA from 1 species